rnacentral:tRNA from 1 species
UGUGGCAUAGCUCAGGGGUCAGAGCGCGCGCUUGAUAAGCGUGAGGUCGGUGGUUCGAGACCACCUGUCACUA